CUUCACACAGUCCCAACCUAGCAGUUCGCAAAGAAAGCGCCGGCUCCUAUUUUCAGUUCAGGCACACAACCAGGCGGAGAGCAAACUUCCGCGCGGGGUUUUUCCCGGGAGCGCCCGCGAAGCGCGGAAAAAGCUGGCAGCUUCAUGGAGGAAUCGGGGCAAGUCGCUGAGAGACAGGAGAGUGUGGAUUGGGGCUAUGAAGAAGGUGUUGAGUGGGGGCUAAUCUUUCCUGAUGCAAAUGGGGAAUAUCAAUCUCCCAUUAACUUGAAUUCAAGAGAGGCCAAAUAUGACCCAUUGUUACUGGAAGUAUGCUUAUCAACAAAUUAUGUUGUAUGCCGUGAUUGUGAGAUCAUCAAUGACGGACACUUAGUUCAGAUCCUCUUAAAGACUAAAUCAAUGUUAGUGGGAGGCCCAUUACCUCGGGGCCAUGAAUUUGAACUUCACAAUGUUCGAUUUCACUGGGGCAGAGAAAAUCAGCGUGGCUCAGAACACACAGUUAAUUUUAAAGCGUUUCCCAUGGAGCUCCAUCUGAUCCACUGGAACACUACCAUGUAUCACAGUAUUGAUGAGGCAGUCGGAAAGAAGAAUGGUAUAGCCAUUAUUGCCUUAUUUGUGCAGAUAGGAAAGGAACAUUCAGGCCUAAAGGCUGUGACUGAGAUUCUGCAAGACAUUCAGUAUAAGGGCAACUCCAAGACAAUACCUUGCUUCAAUCCUAACACAUUAUUACCAGAUCCACUGCUAAGAGACUAUUGGGUGUAUGAAGGCUCUCUCACCGUCCCACCCUGCAGUGAAGGUGUUACGUGGAUCUUAUUUAGAUAUCCUUUAACUGUAUCCCAAGUUCAGGUAAUGGUUGUGCUUAUGACCACAGCCUGAAAUUCUCAGUGAAAGGUUACAAUAUGCAAACAUAUUGCAAGGCAUUAUACUUGUUCUUUCCUGGAAAUCUCAUUAAAUUGACCCAUUUAUGGCUUUUAAAGUAAAGGUUAAAUAAUUUGUGUUAUUAAAAUGGAAAGGUCAGAAAUGAAGAACUGUUGUUACUAUUUUUCUCGUAUAUUAUAAAAAUAAAAACUUACCAUGAAAAAAAGAAAGAAAAGUAGAGGGGAAAAGAGAAAUAAAUAAAUACCCAGCAAUUUUCUUAAAAAAAAAACUUAAAACAAGCAAUAGCAGAUGUUUGAACAGAUGUGCAAAAUAGCCUUGUUUGUGUGCUUGAGGCCUAAUGCAAUGCUAUCCAGCAGUUGCUAGCUAGUUUUACUUUCCAGAGCCAUUUCAACCAGUGCCAGCAUGUUCCAUAGCUGACACAGAACUCACAUGAGUCUAGGGGACAAUUAUAGAUAACGUGAAAUUCUCUCUUCAUGGGAAACUUUGGUUUCUGCCUCUGUCUGAAAGGACUUUUUUUGAAUGAUAUAUGCUUCCUUCUUGCUACUAUCCGUGUUUGACAAAAGGACAUGAUUACAGUAUCGCAAGCAAGGCCAGCAGGUAACAGACAGUUAAGGGCACAUGCAGGUCACCUGCUAUUUUUCUUUUAAAUAGAAAUGUAUAGGUUACUGAACCAAAUCGGGUUAAUAGUGUUUUCCCCCUCAAAACCCGACUUAUUUCAUUUUUAUUGGUGGCAAGCAACUGUGUGUCGAACUAAUUCGCAUUUUUAUUUUAUUAGUUUCUUUUAACUCUCAGAGGAUUCUUGUGUUGUUUUUGUUAUAAAAGACUAACCUCUCAAAAUUGCUGCAGUAGUAGACUCUAGCUAUAUGGAGUGGAAAUCCAUCAGUUUCACAGAUAUUCCCACUCAGAUAAAGACUGAUACUAUACUUUUAAUGAAAUGUGAACUACAGGACAUUAUUUCUAAGUGGCUGCAGAUGAAAAUCUACUACAGUGUGCCUACUAUAUGUACAUGCCAAAGUGAGCUGAAGCAUCUGAUCAGCAUAUUUUAAAGCAAAGAGUGCCCCAGUAUCAACGUUUAUGUACAUGUUUGGCUUUGGUAUUAUUUAUCAUAAAUGCCCCACAUAUUCCAUACUAGAGAUAUUAAUAGUUUCUAUGCAAAAUAAAUAUCCAAUAGGCUGUAGGAAAAUAAUUCGUUACCAUGCAUACUCAGUCACUAACCUCAUUGCUUUUUUAUAAAAUAUAUCCUAUUUAAAGAAGUCAAGUUUUGAUGCAUUAAAUUAUGUGUUUAGACAUUCCAGACUUCUUGCAACAAAACAAAAAAUGCUAAGGAAUAUAUACUUUAUACUAUAGAGCUUUAUACAUGCUAAAACAAUUAGGAUAUGCAGACAGCAGCACUUUUGUCACUUAAGAUAAAGAAGAUUUAAAAGAUCUCAUUAGGAACAUAAAAUAAAAGUGAAAAAUCUAGGAUAAUGUUACAUAUUAGGAAGACAAAAGUGAUGUCAACAAGCUUGGCAAAGAUGAUUCAGUUUUCUUGGUCUAAACAAUAGGUAAAAGUGGAAGAGGGGAUUAAUCCUAGGGAAAAGAUCCUGAAAGAUAAGAAUAUUACUGUGAUCAGAAAGAUCAGAAUAGUUAAAGCAAUAGAUUUCAUAGUAGAGAUGUAUGGACAUUAAAAAGAAGAUAAGAAAAUAAUAUUGCUGAGAAUUAUGAAUAUAUAGGUAACUAUUAAGUGUACCAUAGAUGCAAGAAGAACUUGUUCAUUUUGCAUCAAAUAAAGCCUGACCUAUUUGGGACAUGUGAUGUACAUAAGUAAUAGACUAGAAAAAAAAUUACAAGGAUGGAACAGGAUUGAGGGUAGUAAAGGCAACAGGUAAGAUGAAUGGAUGGGAUCAAAGAUAUUACAGGGCUGUCUUGGAAGACCUACAAAAUAUUGCUGAAGAUAGUUGUGACGACAAGCAUUUGUCCAUGCAGUCACCAGAAGAGAAUAUUCAAUAUAUAUUUAUUCAUUGCUGUUUCUCCUCUUCACUCAUUCAUUCUGUGGCUGCUACUACUACUACAACUAUCACCACCAAUACUAUUAACUUUACAGUGUUCUGCUUUUUUCAGAAAGAAAUCUGUUUUAUAUAAGAUCAUUUCUAACAAUAGUACAUAGACUGUUUACAGAUAUCAACAAUAAGGGCAGAUCUUUCCUUCUUUGUUUUUUGCUUAUAGAUCAGUUGAUUAUAAUUUAUUCUUGGUGAGAAGUGGGACAAUUCCUGCUUGGCUAAAUAUUUUUUCUCUCUCCUAUGUUUAUGACACUUUCUACGAUCCCUGUAAUCAUUUGCUUACAUUGUCCCAAUGAUUCAUUUUAAAAGCGUAUUCUCUGGAAUAGUUAGUUUUGCCUACUCUCUCAUAAACCUUUUCUUUAUUUUUCCUGUUUUUAAAAGGUUAAUUUUGUCCUGGUUUUCCAACAAUUGGGUUGUCUCCUUGUGAAAUACAAGGCUCAUGUUACAAUUAAGCAAGAAUAGGUUAUCAAAGCUUUAUAAUAAAGAAAUGAAUCGACAACAGUUAGAAUAGCCAGGUGGCUUUGAUGUUGUUGAUUCAUUUCAGCCUUGUAAUCAUGUCAUAAUAAAACAGGAAUGGAAAUGUGUUGAAAUGUUGGCACAUUCCCAAGUUCAUACUGGAUUUUUUCACUUCUAUUUUAAUCUAAUUUCUGUUUGUAAUGAUCAUUACUUUGAUAUAGUAAAGUCUAUAAUACCUCAAAAGCCUUCUUCAGAAUGUUCCAAAAGAUGAUAGAAGAGUUUCGAGGACUGAGGACUCAUAUUAAAGGAGCAGAGCUCCUAGAAGGUUGCGAUGGAAACUUAGGAGAUAAUUUUAGACCAACACAGCCACUUAAUGACAGA